GACGAACGCUGGCGGCGUGCUUAACACAUGCAAGUCGAACGGAAAGGCCCUGCUUUUGUGGGGUGCUCGAGUGGCGAACGGGUGAGUAACACGUGAGUAACCUGCCCUUGACUUUGGGAUAACUUCAGGAAACUGGGGCUAAUACCGGAUAGGAGCUCCUGCUGCAUGGUGGGGGUUGGAAAGUUUCGGCGGUUGGGGAUGGACUCGCGGCUUAUCAGCUUGUUGGUGGGGUAGUGGCUUACCAAGGCUUUGACGGGUAGCCGGCCUGAGAGGGUGACCGGCAACAUUGGGACUGAGAGACGGCCCAGACGCCGACGGGAGGCAGCAGUGGGGAAUAUUGCACAAUGGGCGGAAGCCUGAGGCAGCAACGCCGCGUGCGGGAUGACGGCCUUCGGGUUGUAAACCGCUUUCGCCGGUGACGAAGCGUGAGUGACGGUAAUGGGUAAAGAAGCACCGGCUAACUAGGUG
rnacentral:rRNA from 1 species